GGACACGCAGACUAAUCCUGAUUCGUGGAAGGGGACUACACAAAGGGAUGAAUUCCAGGAGCUUUGCAGAUGCAGCCCUGAAGAGGUUUAUUCCACUUCUCCCAAAGUCGAUCGUACACGAUAGCCAGCCAUCUAACCUUAACAAAGCCAUGCAGAUUAACCAAGUGGAAACAAGAUUCUAACUGAAAAGCUGAUAGGACCUCGGUGGCGAGUGGCCAGGAUCAGGCCCAGCCUAGCAGACUCUCCAACACCUUGCACUGAAAGUUUCACUAGAGGCAAAUGCAUCUGUAUCCUGACAAUAGAUGAAAUCAAUCAAAUCAGAUGGGAGAAGCCUCCAGUAAGUGCAACACCCAGGGCUGUGUGCGGUUUAGAUCUUGGCUUUCCUCUGUUCUGCCCACGACAGGACAAGGAACUCCGGAGGCUAUAAUUUUCAUGAGCUUUUAUAGAGGGAAGCGUCCGGCAACGUCAAUUUAAAAUGUAAAAAUCGACUCUGCACCGGCACAUGAUAUUGGGUAAUCAUGUAGUACCCACGGCCCUUGGUUUGGUGAGACGCUUCCUUACUCUACAGUCUGGGCUAUUCACGGGAUGACGCUGAGAAUUUUUAGCAUGGAAAUUUCUGUGUUCUCUGACCUAUGUUGCUGUCAGCCAUAUCCAAUGCAACAAAGUUUCAAGCAGGACAAAAAAGCCAAAUUGUUUUGGAAAGCUAGUGACUCCUCCUUAAUUCUUAAUGUUUUGUGAAUUCGGAAUUGCUAUUGCAUUCUCACACAAUUAUGAGCACCCGUGGUUAUUUCUGGCCACUGGAUUAUUAAUUUGCGUGGGCAACCAGACAAAUAUCACCUAUUCCUUCCCUGACAAGGUUUCCUGAACUGUCUAAUUAGUUUCAAGGAGAAAGAUACUCACUUGUACAAGCCAGCCCAUUAUUUUCUUAACAUCAAGGAGUAUCCUGUCUCGGCAAAUGUCAUCCCUGAAGCUAUGGAUUUGCUGGGCUGCCCCGCAAUCAGACAGGAACAUAAUUUGCUUCUACGUGAUAUUUUUGAGGCUCCAUUUUUUAUUUCUUUCCCCCUAUUUGAAGAAUGCAAUGAAUUCAGGAGCUCAGUUUGGCUUUAAGGAUUGUUAGCUACUUCCUAACUGUCCCUCUAGGGAAAGAGGGAGGAAGGGGGGACCAAGGAGAUAGCAAAAAUCAAUAGAGUCUGCUUGAAUUCUCUGUCUCCCUCCAUCCGACGCCAAGAACCUGAGUGAAGUGUGCUCUCAGCGUAGGGGAAGCCAGCCUGAGUGCCAAUCAACCACAGGCAGGAGGCUGUGUUAGCUCGGACAGAGGCGGCUGUUUUUUGCCAGGGGGAAACAAAUACAGGAAGAACGUUGCUUCUCAAAAGAGCCUCUACAGAGAACAACCUGCAAGCACCCGGAAGAAAAACAGGCUCCAGUGAAAAAGUCUCUGCUAAGGUCACAGAGUUGUGCACCUUAAAAGCGGUGAAUGUUAUGGUAUGCAGAUUAUUAUACCCAGCUAAAAAAAAAAAAAAAAAAAAAAAAAAAAAAGUUGUACGAGAAAAUAAAAUACGCCAAGGGAUUCUGUUUUACAUCCCGAAAGGAGGAAGAGAAAGGUGUGAGGAAGAGUGAGGAAGCACACACAUGCACAAAGAACCUGGAAGUCCCAACAGAUAGGGCACCUGGCUCUGUGCUCACCAUGUGCACACGGUAUUCGUUGAGAGGAUGCCCGAAUCAAAGUCAGCAACAAACUCUGGGGGCAGCAGCCCCUUAUGCAAUGACCGGCCGGCUCCCUGUGAACACGUUCUCCACGACCCUGUGUCCGCUGUGCCCCCUGGUAAUGAAGAAUUGGCUGUCAGCCACUCAUUUUGCGUGUACGUCGGGGCAGGCCAUCAGAUCAGCAUUCUACCGGAAGGCGGCUCUGUGACCCUGCAGCUGAAUGACACUGUUGCUUUCUGAAAACUGUAAAUCAGAGGAAAUAGAGAUUGCUGGUGAAUGAAACCUUUUGUGUCCUCUUUUUAUUAGCACUUGAAAUUGGGUUUUCUCCAAUAUAUUUAUUUUCCAUUCUGCGAGCUCAAGUGUGAUGGAUAUGCCUUUGGAAAUUAAUGACGCAAUUAAAGAAUCUGUCCCCUCUGGAUCACUUGCUGGGGGUUACAGGUGUUUUUCAUCUUGUUCUUUCAGCAGAUCUGAUGAAGCCCAAGUUGAUUUUACAUAAAGAGACUAAAGAAUGCUUGCAAAGAUUGCCUAUAAAUAGGAAACACGAGCUGAACUUUUCCUAACGGCAAAGAUUCUGUUUUUGAUCAUUCUAACCCCCUGCUUUUGGGGGGGGGCACGUUAUUAUUUCCAGUUAUUGUUGUUAUUUGUUUUCCUGAAAGAAAUACAAUUUAAAUAAUGCUAACUAUAUUGAUCUACCUGUAUGUUAGUGCCUGGUGAUAAGGCUUGGAGUUCCCCUCGAUUUUAUAAUUGUACCCAGGACGUGACACAUACAUUGUCUCUGAAAAUACCUAGUGCUCUGCCAAUUAGCAGCAUCGGCUUUCAUGUCAAUUUGAAAAGGUCUAGAUGUGAAGGGAUGGCAUACCCCUACCAGAAUGAUCCCUCUUAGGUUCCCAUAAUUAAAGAGAGGUGCUCACUGGGUCUGCCUCAUGUAUCCAUCGUGGAGCCAGAGUAGGGAAUGGAAAUGGUUCACUGAUCAAAAUACCAGAAUUAGCUCCAUCUGAUUUGAAUCUCUUUCCUUAACACCAUCCAGAGUUCCUCUAACUUGGAAAAUUAAAAAGACAAAAAAAAAAAAAAAUCAAUUGAGAGUAACUGAAACAUCAAGUUUCUCUCUCUCUUCCUUUCUUGGGAUCAUAAUAUAGAGCAUAUAUAAGCAUUUUGUGUUAAUACAUAAUGUGUUAUGUAUUAUAACUUAGUAAAAGUUAACUUAAAUAGAGCCAAAUAUACUACAAUGUCAAAUAGCCGUUACGAAGGGUGGUCCUGCCCCCAGUCUCUGCCCCUGCCCCCUGCACGCUGGGGAAGCCCUUCCAGACACGGCAGUGAGGUCCUGCUGUGAUCACCCUCUCCCUUCACCUUCCUGAUGAAGUGUAUCUGGUCCUGAUCUUGAUCCUGAUUAAGUGUACCUUCUUAGUGUCAGUCUCAUCCAAAUUUUAUGCUGAUGUGGUCAUGACAUUUGUCCUAACAAAUCAGAUAAUAUGAAUGAGCCAUAAUUAUUUUACCCUCAUUUUAUAGACAAAAAGUGAGGCCAGAGAUGCUCUGACUUGCCCAAGAUCCUGUUAGUCAGUGGUGAAGUCAGAGGUAGAAUUCUGAAUUCCUAGCCCCCAGUGUACCAUGCUUCAGCCCGCAUGCUCUUGACUUAUAAGACUGAAAGAUACUAAUUAAGAAAAAGCUAAUUAAUGCCGCACCUUGGGAAACUUGCAACAUUACAUACAGGAAGGUCAAGAGAAAACAUUCGUUUGAGUAGGCCUCAUCUUUGACAUCAUGUGUCUUCUUAGAGACAGUAAAAUUCUUAGGAUACUUUUACUGAGGUUUGAGGAUUGACACGUGCUUAAAAAGACUGUUUCAAAGAAUGUCAGAAACCCUGACGUUCUGUGGAUUUGUACUAUGUUUGGAUUUGCCAUCAAUUUCUCAGUGAUUGUGUUAGCAUUUCAAGCCAACUGGGGAUAGGCCAGAGAAUGAGAAAAUUAGCUGGAAGAAUCCAAUGCCCUUGAUUUAAUAGCUGCUUUCAUGGAGUUAACAUCAGGCUCUUUUUUGGCCAGUAAUGAUUAAUUCUUGUAAUGAUUCAGUUUUCUUCUGCCAUGGCUUGUCUAAAAUACUUGUCUUACAUAACCAUCUGUCAGAACUUUUUUUGUUAAA